rnacentral:rRNA from 1 species
GUGCCAGCAGCCGCGGUAAUACGUAGGGUGCGAGCGUUGUCCGGAAUUAUUGGGCGUAAAGGGCUCGUAGGCGGUCUGUCGCGUCGGGAGUGAAAACCAGGUGCUUAACACCUGGCUUGCUUUCGAUACGGGCAGACUAGAGGUAUUCAGGGGAGAACGGAAUUCCUGGUGUAGCGGUGAAAUGCGCAGAUAUCAGGAGGAACACCGGUGGCGAAGGCGGUUCUCUGGGAAUAUCCUGACGCUGAGGAGCGAAAGUGUGGGGGAGCGAACAGGAUUAGAUACCCUGGUAGUCC